UUGAAAAUCUUUGCAGAUGAAUUCUGUGGCUGAUCUCCAGACUGAACAGGUGAAGUUACAUCCCUGCAUCGUGAGACUGAAGCAGCACAUACUGCACUGGUGGAUUUACUUCUUGUCCACAUCAAAAUGCAGAGACUGCUCCAUUCAUCAGGUCCAUGGCAUACAAAGGAGAUGUUAUCAACAUGUAUCUUGUGUCCUAGCAAGGAAAACUGAGAAUCAGCAGAAGCAUUCAGGCAAACAGGAACAGAUGCCUGAAAGAUCUCAUAUCAGCAGCAGGUGGAAUGGCUUGUAGGUAAAAUACCUGUAAAUGAAGCCUCUUCCCAACAGUCCCAGGUAUGCACUGCAGAAGCUGCUGCGAAGGACAGAAGCAUCAGCACCAUUCACCUUGUGUUUUCUUGUCCUUGUAUUCAAGAAAAAAUGUGCCUAUAAUUAGAAAGCAGAAUUAGUACUGAAACAAUUUUCACAUCACUGGUCCUUCAGCCUCCUCAGAUAUUAUUUGUGGUAUCUGCUUUCAUGCAAGAGGAUGGGGCCAAAUAAAAGCAAUCACAAGGGUGGAAAUGUUCUCAGCAGGAGGAAAAGGGAUUAUCAAAAAGCAGAGGAAAAAGAUUUCUGAACGUUUUGUAGUCCUGGGCAUCCAUAUGCCAUUUGAGCUAUGUAGAGAGUUAACAGAUAGCUCUAAAAAUAAAGAAUGCAUUAUUUAUUAACUUGUUAGAGCUUUCAGAAAAUAGGAGCUGAAUUCACCUGGCUAAUAAGCUACCUCAGAUCACGUCCAUUGAAAGAUACAUGCAUAUGAAUUGCAUGAACUGUGCGUUUGGUCUUUACGAGGCCAUUCAGGAACCUAAAGUUAUUUUUUCUUCUAGGAAAAAUACACGGAAUAGUUCAGCUUUUGAAUAUUUUAUAAAGUCUGUAUGCCAUUCUAUAUCUGCCCCUGCCCAUGAUUCUCCCUACGUAAGUGCGUGUAAUUCCAAUUUUAUUUCAGAACAAGAUUUGUUUGUAGUCCAAAGGAUGCGAUAUCACAGAGGAGAUUAAAGCAAGAAAACAUGCUGUUGAGAACAUAGCAUGAAGGCUAUUUUUUGGGGUCUCAUGACCUUCCAGCCCUAUACGAUGAGCAGAACAAACCAGUGAAUGUACCAGGAUGUUAAGAAUUUACAGUUUUGACAGCCUGGACCUGCUCUCUCAGAGCACAUUCUCAUGCAACUUGCAUUCAUAUUCUUGUCUCUGUCCAGCUAUGCUGAAUGGGGGGAGAUUAGCAAGAUGGGCUAGAGUGCUGCAAUGGUGUCUUGUGCUGUGGUCAGAUGUCUUUUGCAGUCCAAGGAAGGAGCUUCAUGGGUUGAUGAAGAGGUCUUGUCUGUCCCCACAUUGCUCAGAAGGACAUAGGCCAGGUUCAGAAGCGAGACUUCUUAAAUAUUUUCAUAAUCUUUGCAUUAACUAGCAAAGUGAGAACUACUCUCUGUUAAAAGUCAUUUCAUCAACAUAAAUGGAGGUUAUCUCAAAGGCAACAGGUGUUGAGGACUUCAGAGCCUGUGCUGCCCUUUCUGGGCUGUUAGGCUGGAUAAUCCUGGAAAAGGCUCUCCUUUGGUCCACGGCAAAUUCAGAGUAGGAGCUCAGGCGUUAUGGUCUUCCAUGGGUAUUGAGGAAAGCUCCGCUCUCACCCUUCUCCCAUGCUCCAGCCAUUCAUUUCCCUGACCCUGGUGACAGCCAUCCCUGCUCUGCACACCAGGGCCAACUCAGGACAAACCAGUUGUAUGCCAGCCCUGCCAGAUAUCAUGGAGGUGGAGGGCAGAGGAGGAGAAAGGAUGCAUCAGAAUCAUGGAGAUCAUCUUCUGCAAAGGAAAAAUCCUCAAUGAAGAAUGAAGCCCACAAACCAUAUAAAAGUUUAUUUGAUGACUAAGUAGGGAAGGAAAAAAAUAUAUAUGUUCUCCACAGCUCUUGUUUUCAAUACAUGCAUUACGUAUUAUUUAUUUACAUAAUUACCCAUUGCCUACUGCUAUAGCUUUUUAUUUGCAACCUCACUUGGAAAACUACACCGUGUGUUGGCCUAAGCACCCAGUCUGAAUGCAGAAGUGGUG
ensembl:lncRNA